rnacentral:rRNA from 1 species
AGUGAACGCUGGCGGUAGGCCUAACACAUGCAAGUCGAACGGCAGCACAGUAAGAGCUUGCUCUUACGGGUGGCGAGUGGCGGACGGGUGAGGAAUACAUCGGAAUCUACUUUUUCGUGGGGGAUAACGUAGGGAAACUUACGCUAAUACCGCAUACGACCUACGGGUGAAAGCAGGGGAUCUUCGGACCUUGCGCGAUUGAAUGAGCCGAUGUCGGAUUAGCUAGUUGGCGGGGUAAAGGCCCACCAAGGCGACGAUCCGUAGCUGGUCUGAGAGGAUGAACAACCACACUGGAAAUGAGACAGCGUCCAGACUCCUACGGGAGGCAGCAGUGGGGAAUAUUGGACAAAGGGCGCAAGCCUGAUCCAGCCAUACCGCGUGGGUGAAGAAGGCCUUCGGGUUGUAAAGCCCUUUUGUUGGGAAAGAAAAGCAGCAGGUUAAUACCCCGCUGUUCUGACGGUACCCAAAGAAUAAGCACCGGCUAACUUCGUG